AAUUGAAGAGUUUGAUCAUGGCUCAGAUUGAACGCUGGCGGCAGGCCUAACACAUGCAAGUCGAACGGUAACAGGAAGCAGCUUGCUGCUUCGCUGACGAGUGGCGGACGGGUGAGUAAUGUCUGGGAAGCUGCCUGAUGGAGGGGGAUAACUACUGGAAACGGUGGCUAAUACCGCAUAACGUCGCAAGACCAAAGAGGGGGACCUUCGGGCCUCUUGCCAUCAGAUGUGCCCAGAUGGGAUUAGCUUGUUGGUGAGGUAACGGCUCACCAAGGCGACGAUCCCUAGCUGGUCUGAGAGGAUGACCAGCCACACUGGAACUGAGACACGGUCCAGACUCCUACGGGAGGCAGCAGUGGGGAAUAUUGCACAAUGGGCGCAAGCCUGAUGCAGCCAUGCCGCGUGUAUGAAGAAGGCCUUCGGGUUGUAAAGUACUUUCAGCGGGGAGGAAGGUGUUGUGGUUAAUAACCGCAGCAAUUGACGUUACCCGCAGAAGAAGCACCGGCUAACUCCGUGCCAGCAGCCGCGGUAAUACGGAGGGUGCAAGCGUUAAUCGGAAUUACUGGGCGUAAAGCGCACGCAGGCGGUCUGUCAAGUCGGAUGUGAAAUCCCCGGGCUCAACCUGGGAACUGCAUUCGAAACUGGCAGGCUUGAGUCUUGUAGAGGGGGGUAGAAUUCCAGGUGUAGCGGUGAAAUGCGUAGAGAUCUGGAGGAAUACCGGUGGCGAAGGCGGCCCCCUGGACAAAGACUGACGCUCAGGUGCGAAAGCGUGGGGAGCAAACAGGAUUAGAUACCCUGGUAGUCCACGCCGUAAACGAUGUCUACUUGGAGGUUGUGCCCUUGAGGCGUGGCUUCCGGAGCUAACGCGUUAAGUAGACCGCCUGGGGAGUACGGCCGCAAGGUUAAAACUCAAAUGAAUUGACGGGGGCCCGCACAAGCGGUGGAGCAUGUGGUUUAAUUCGAUGCAACGCGAAGAACCUUACCUGGUCUUGACAUCCACGGAAG
rnacentral:rRNA from 1 species